GAAGGAUUUCACAGGACAUGUUAGGGUUCCAUUAUAAAAAGGAGGCUUUAUCACUUUUACCAUAACUCGAACAAGAGAGUACAUAUACCCACUCCUUUGUCCACUAAUCCAGUAUGGUACAGAUGUGAGACGCAGCUUUAUAGAUCCCAGUGAAGAGAGUUGCUUCUCCUCUCCUCAGUGUGGUGCUUACUCUAUGUUUCAGUUCAGCACACUUUUGACAUCUUGAUUUGGUGCUGACAACCAGUGGCAUUUUUCUCACAUAAUUACGAGUGACUAUAAUCCUCCAAAAGAGAGCAAAAUACACUGUAAAUGACCAAAGACAUA
rnacentral:lncRNA from 1 species